ensembl:lncRNA
CAAGCAAUAUGUGACUUGCCUUUUGGACUGAAAAUAUGCCCGGAUCCUGUUAAGGUUCCUAGGAAAGCUUUCAGAUUCAGGUGGGCAGGUAUGGAGGUCUCCCCCACCUUGCACUCAGGACAAGCCUUGCAGACCUUCUUGCUCAUGGAAAAUGCUGGUGACUCUGGCUAAGACAGGAGGGAAGCGGCUUGGAGAGUGACCAUGUUUCAUCCACUGUAUUUGCAUCUAAGCCUGGAGGGACUUCCUUGACUCCUCGGACUGUUUAAGAGAAUCUUUCCCCAGUUUUAUUCUGACAGAGGGCGGUAGCCCUGAAAACGAUUAAGGCAGAAUUGCACAUCCCCUACUCAAGGCAUAUGGGAUCCUAGCUGUCGGACCAGGGAUCGAACCUGCACCCCCUGCGUGGGAAGGCAAAGUUUUAACCACUGACCGCCAGGGAAGUCCCCACCUGGUGGGCGGUAACUAGAGAUGAUGCUCCAGUAGCUCCAGACGGGACCCGGAUUUGGCAUUUCUAACAAGCAGAUGCUCCAGGGUUACUGGGCCACUGAGCUCACUCUGAGUAGCAAGGCCAAGGUGGCCUUCUCUCUACUUGAGGAGACUUGGGUGAGGAGAUUCAACACGUAUUGGAUACCAAGCAAUUAGAGGAGCUUCCCAGACUCAUUUAUGUCAGAG